rnacentral:rRNA from 1 species
UGGGGAAUCUUGGACAAUGGGGGCAACCCUGAUCCAGCCAUGCCGCGUGAGUGAUGAAGGCCUUAGGGUCGUAAAGCUCUUUCGCCUGUGAAGAUAAUGACGGUAGCAGGUAAAGAAACCCCGGCUAACUCCGUGCCAGCAGCCGCGGUAAUACGGAGGGGGUUAGCGUUGUUCGGAAUUACUGGGCGUAAAGCGCACGUAGGCGGACCAGAAAGUUGGGGGUGAAAUCCCGGGGGCUCAACCCCGGAACUGCCUCCAAAACUAUUGGUCUAGAGUUCGAGAGAGGUGAGUGGAAUUCCAAGUGUAGAGGUGAAAUUCGUAGAUAUUUGGAGGAACACCAGUGGCGAAGGCGGCUCACUGGCUCGAUACUGACGCUGAGGUGCGAAAGUGUGGGGAGCAAACAGGAUUAGAUACCCUGGUAGUCCACACCGUAAAACGAUGAAUGCCAGUCGUCGGGUAGCAUGCUAUUCGGUGACACACCUACGGAUUAAGCAUUCCGCCUGGGAGUACGGUCGCAAGAUUAAAACUCAAAGGAAUUG